rnacentral:rRNA from 1 species
UACGUAGGGUGCGAGCGUUAAUCGGAAUUACUGGGCGUAAAGCGUGCGCAGGCGGUUUUGUAAGCCAGAUGUGAAAUCCCCGGGCUUAACCUGGGAAUGGCAUUUGGGACUGCAAGGCUUGAGUGCGGCAGAGGAGACUGGAAUUCCUGGUGUAGCAGUGAAAUGCGUAGAUAUCAGGAGGAAUACCGAUGGCGAAGGCAGCCCCCUGGGUCGAUACUGACGCUCAUGCACGAAAGCGUGGGGAGCAAACAGG